CCUCCUCCCUUCCUCCACCACUAGAAUCCCUCCCUUCCUCCACCUCCUCUCCCCCACAACCACCUCAAAAUCUGCUCGCUGUUUUCAGAUUUGCCUUCACCACAUGCACACAUCUCUUCCUCUACCUACUCUCCACCACCCUCCCUUCACCACAACCACCACAAGAUCUGUUUCCCCCACCACCCCAGUCACCAGCAACUGAGUCGCACCCCCAUCCCCAUCUGAGAUCUGUAGAGCAUGGUAGCCAUUUUUGGAGCUCACUUCUUCAAGUAACUAGGGGCGGCAGAGAUAGGGGAAGAGAGGACGAGGGAGACAGAG
rnacentral:lncRNA from 1 species